GGACAAGUUCAGGGGGCCAGAUAUGCAUUAAGCCUAUUUUUAUUGAAUACAGAGUAGUUAAAUGUUUUAUUAAAACAAGAAACUGAUCACUUUAUUGAUUUGAGAGGAAAAAACCAACAUUAACAAAAUGCUAAAGUUGAUGAAAAAAACCUCUCACUGAAGCUAAGCUAAAGUGGAAGUGCAGAAACGAGCUAUGACAAUUGACACACACACACACACACAUCUAUGUGUUGAACAAACACUUAUUUAUACACAUCAAUCUAGACACUACAUGUUCACAGUCAGAGAGGUUCUAUUUUAGGCUGAUCGAAGUGGAAUUUCUGAUAGCUGACACCAGUGAAUACACCAUCCGUCUUUGGCGUUGGAACAGGAGUCCCAUUAGCAAUCGUGUCUUUCUGAAGGUAGGAGAAAGGAACUUCACAGGUACCCUUUGUUGCCAUAUAAUGAACUGUGACCCUGCUCCUAGGCGGCACAUCAGUUUGAUAUGUUACCUCUGCUGUUUUAGUUUCUUUUUUUGUUGUAUUCCAUUCUAAGGUAUUAGUUAACUCAGCAGAGACUGUAAUCUUUCCCUCUGCAAGGAAUGGAAUACCAGCUUUGAACUCGACCCCGAGGCCUGUCAUUAUAGAUACACUGUUGCUAAAAGAAGAAGUAGUCUCCUCUUGAUACGCAACCUUGACAGUUAAAGUAGCCUUUUGGUUUGAAGUAUUCGCAGCGUAACCACUGCCUGCUGAGAUAGGUACCUCAUCAGAUAAUAUCCGAGCAUCUUCCAAGCGAUAUCUAACAUCAUAGAUCUUUCUUCUAAAAAUAGGCUCUGCCACUUGCAAUAUUGCUUCAUCGGUAACGGUGUUAACCGCAGCAUUGAGACAGCUGGUCUUUCCCUCUGCGGUAAGCCUUUUACAGAAUCUAUGGUUACGUUCAUUGCGAAGAGCAAUGGCAUGUUCAUUAACUUUGACCGGCCAAAACAAAGCCUCAAGACGAUUAGGAUCAAUUUCAUAAUCCCAUAUCCAAUUGGGUACAAGUGUCCAAAACAGGCCACUAGAUGUAGCCCUUAUGUGAACAUGUCCAUCCGGCGUCAUUGUGACCUCGUGAAACGAUGCCUCAUCUUUAGGAUCAUCCGAUGAGAAUUGCAGGAAGGGGUUUCCUUCGAUAGUGACAGUCUUGAGGUACUUGCCGUUGUCGCCUUUGAAUAUUACCUGCUUGGGCAAUUUAACUAUUGUUUCCCAAUCCACAAAAGUGAAAGCAUACCAAGGAGUUGAAUCACCACCGUCUAUAUCAUCCACAAAAACACGAUAGCUCUUGUCCGAUACCUCAUUCCGAUAACUUGUUCGCACACGCCGUCCGGUUUGAACGUGUCUCAAGUAGUGGUGCCCAUCUUUGCCUAUAGAUGGCUCAAACAACGUACAUGACCGAUUGCUUGUCUCUUCCACUGGUUGCUUGGAGCUAGCAAUCAUCCACACAUCAUUUGCAGUUUUCGCCCAGUAUCUAUUGCUGCGACAGAAUCGUAGGUGAACAUACUUGCUAUUAAUUUUUGCCGUCUCAACCUCAAUCUUCACCAAUGGGCUAAAAACACUCACUUCACUACAAGCUACUGCUUCCGUUUCAUUCAUGCGAUAUGCAUGUUGUCCGGAGAAUACUGAUUUGAUCACGAUGAACCUUUCAAGCUGAUGUGCCAUAAUGGUCGCUGAAGCUUUCUUAAACCUGCUUAAAUGGAAAUAUUGCUUGUGGGAUAAGAGCUAUGUGCAUAAUUGCCAUGAAGACCACCUAUUUGUAGAGGUUAACGAUCCAUUGUCGAAGCAUUAUAGUAAAGAGAAACUCCUUGUUUUUUUCAUUUUUUCAUUUUAUGUUUUUGUUUUUUUCAUUUUUUUUCAUUUUAUGUCAGUGGUCUCACUCAAAUAUUUAAUUUUGAU
rnacentral:misc_RNA from 1 species